ACCCCACUGGCGCAACGACUUGGCAAUGACCCCAUCGAUCUAGUUGCGGCGCAGAGAGAGACAUUCGCGGUGGAGAUGCCGAAAGUAGAUCCCGUGUACGGCACGGAGGGCCCGCUGAUGUCGUUGUGGAUGGCUGAGCAGGCCGGUGCUUCCAAGAGCCUGUCCACGGGACAGCCGCCAAGCGGUUGAUGAAGGUUGUAGCAGGUUCAUUGGGACCAUUUUGAGCGAAGGGAUGGAUGGACGGGGUAUGUAAACGCGCAAAUGGAUAGUUGCACCUCCAUGCGGAUAUCCUGUAGGAUAAUUAUGUUCCUGUUGCUACACGAUAGGAUUAACUUCUCGUAGAUGGCGGUGAGUGGUGAGAGUUGUUGAUGAAGAGGAACACCCCCAAAAACCCAGGACAUGGAAGGGGUCAUCUUCUCAAGAUGAUUGUGCGAUAGUCAGGGAAUGCAAAGGGGGUGAGGCACAUAUCGCAGGGAAGAAAUCGUUGACGACGAAUUUCCGUGCAGGUACGAUAUUUCCACAUGGCAAAAUCGAGUCUAAGGGUGAUGGGAAACGGCCACAAAUAUAACUCUUGCAGCCGGCAAUCACUAAAAAUUGUUUCGUUUAUGCUGCGUCUACAAGGCACAGGCACGGAAAUGCGCAAGCUCAAAAACCAUCGGUUCCUGGAAAUGUUGAAGAUUGGUAAACACACUGUCAUGGAACCGCCGCGACUGGAAAGGGCAACGAAAAUGCGGACAUCAAUCCCAUCGAUAUCGUUUCUCAGCAUUUGGUGAAGCGGCCGGGAGAUCUCCAGGUACAAAGCA
rnacentral:sRNA from 2 species